UUCAUUGUAUUUCCCUUUUUUCAUCUUUUUGCCUGUUUUUUCUUUUUUUUCGUUCUCUUACCUUCCCAAUCUUUUAACAAA
rnacentral:ribozyme from 12 species